UACGUAGGCAGCAAGCGUUGUUCGGAAUUACUGGGCGUAAAGAGUGUGUAGGCGGUGCUCUAAGUUCGGUGUGAAAUCUCCCGGCUCAACUGGGAGGGUGCGCCGAAAACUGGAGUGCUGGAGCGCGGGAGAGGAAAGCGGAAUUUCUGGUGUAGCGGUGAAAUGCGUAGAUAUCAGGAGGAACACCGGCGGUGUAGACGGCUUUCUGGACCGUAGCUGACGCUGAGACACGAAAGCGUGGGGAGCAAACAGG
rnacentral:rRNA from 1 species